AGAGAGAACAUACUGAAGCUGACUGGGACGGACUGGAGGGACCUCUGAGUGGAGACAGAUCUUGCUUUCCUGCCUAGUCACCUGCUCUUUUAAUGGAAGAAAGAGAAGCCUGAUGUCAAAGGUGCAUACAAGGGUCUGUGUAUGACCCUUCUGCAAGGGUCACUUGUCUUGUUGCUGUGACAAAUCAGCUUAUGAAAGUCCCCAGCCCAGGCCUCAGGAUCACCCACAUCCGUGGUGCUUCUCAUCUCAGUAAACGAACCCAAGCUAGGAGCUCCCUCAUAGCCAUGCUCUGAACUUCGCCUCUUCAGUGAUUCUAGGACUUGUCCGGUUGGCAAUGUUAAACAUCACCGUUUCUAUCUGAACUGGUACACUUGUCCACAUGCAGUUGUCUUGAACUGGAUCUACCCCAGGAGUAGAUGGUUUGUAAAGAUCCCCCUCCCUCCAAGAAGCGGACUUUUCAAAAAUGGGGUCUAGGUCUAUGGGCCUCAGUAGGAUAUCCAGCCAUUGAACCCAUGCCAAGUCCCACACCGGAACUCUGAGGCUAAGACAGCCCAGCAGUUUACAUUUUCCCAGCGCUCUGCUGGGGGCUCUGAUGCAGGAUCUAGGUGGAGCCAAACCCAGGCUUAGGUAAGCUUCAGGUAAACAUUUUCUUCUGUGCCUGGGUUUGCUGAUGCCUGUUCUCUUAGCAUUACUUGGCGUCUGUUGUCACUGGCACUUGUUUUGCACCCAAGGAAACAAUAGUUGCCUCCUGGGUAAAGAUCCUGGUUCCUUUGCUGGGCAGUUAAACUGCUAGUUAGGGCAUCAAGGAGAAGUAAGUUUAUAGGGACACAGUUUAUUACCAGUGCUAUGUGCUGAGAUGACAUGUAUGUAACAGACAGCUCACUCUACCCUGAGAGUCCAUAGCCAAGCACCAGGAAAAUGUUGGUGGGAACAGAGAAGUGCUUCGGUGCUCAGAACACAGAAGGCUGUCCCCAGCUGCUACCCCAGGCCUGUUGACCAGCAGGUUUCAGCCAUGCCAAAGCUCUGACCCACCAAGAGCUUCUCAGAACUCAUGCUUCAACAGCUCCCUGAGGCUUCAUCUAAUCUUGGGGUGCUGUGAACUCAAAGGCUUUAUCUUCUGCCUGACUAGAGAUGUUUAUUAAAUAUAUCAAGUUUUGGGAGCUGGGGAGAUGCCUCAGUAGCUAAGAGCACAGGCUGCUCUUCCACAGGACCUGGGUUUGAGUCUCAGUACCCACAUGGUGGCUUACAACCGUCUCUAGUUCAGUUCAAAAGGAUCCCGCACCUCGCACUCCCUCCCCCGCCUCCAAGGGCACCAGGCAUGAAUGUUGUGUACUGACAUGUAAGCAGACAAAACACCCAAUC
ensembl:lincRNA Gm26608 predicted gene, 26608